rnacentral:rRNA from 1 species
UCCGUAGGUGGAUAAUUAAGUCAGAGGUGAAAUCCUGCAGCACAACUGUAGAAUUGCCUUUGAAACUGGUUAUCUUGAGUUAUUAUGAAGUAGUUAGAAUAUGUAGUGUAGCGGUGAAAUGCAUAGAUAUUACAUAGAAUACCAAUUGCGAAGGCAGAUUACUAAUAAUAUACUGACACUGAUGGACGAAAGCGUGGGGAGCGAACAGGAUUAGAUACCCUGGUAGUC